UACGUAGGGGGCAAGCAUUGUCCGGAUUUAUUGGGCGUAAAGAGCGUGUAGGCGGCCAUACAGGUCAGCUGUGAAAACUCGAGGCUCAACCUCGAGACGUCGGUUGAAACCGUAUGGCUAGAGUCCGGAAGAGGAGAGUGGAAUUCCCGGUGUAGCGGUGAAAUGCGCAGAUAUCGGGAAGAACACCUAUGGCGAAGGCAGCUCUCUGGGACGGUACUGACGCUGAGACGCGAAAGCGUGGGGAGCGAACAGG
rnacentral:rRNA from 1 species